rnacentral:rRNA from 1 species
AUCAGUGGCGAACGGGUGAGUAACACGUGAGCAAUCUGCCCUUGACUCUGGGAUAACUGCGGGAAACUGUAGCUAAUACCGGAUAUUACCUUGGAAGGCAUCUUCUGGGGUGGAAAGAAUUUUGGUCAAGGAUGAGCUCGCGGCCUAUCAGCUAGUUGGUGAGGUAAUGGCUCACCAAGGCGACGACGGGUAGCCGGCCUGAGAGGGUGACCGGCCACACUGGGACUGAGACACGGCCCAGACUCCUACGGGAGGCAGCAGUGGGGAAUAUUGCACAAUGGGCGCAAGCCUGAUGCAGCGACGCCGCGUGAGGGAUGACGGCCUUCGGGUUGUAAACCUCUUUCAGCAGGGACGAAGCGAGAGUGACGGUACCUGCAGAAGAAGCACCGGCCAACUACGUGCCAGCAGCCGCGGUAAUACGUAGGGUGCGAGCGUUAAUCGGAAUUACUGGGCGUAAAGCGUGCGCAGGCGG